ACCUUAUUGUCUUCGGAUUAAAAUGUUUUCAUUCAGUUUACUUACCAUCGUCCUCACAAGGAAGUCUUUAUCAUGUUAAUACUUUAAUUUUUUUCACUCAGAAAAUCAUGUCCUUUUUCGGUUUGUAUAGAAUAAAGUAUUGACCUAUCAUAAGAAAUAAAAACCGGUUUGUCAAAGUACAUAUUGAAACAAAAUGUGAAUCCGAUUUAUAGAUACAUGCAAUCAAGGACAUUCGAAAUAUAAUUCCUAUUUUUAGGUAUGCAAUUAACAAAGUGUAAAUCAUAUACGAAUAUUCCUAUUAACAACCUUUAAUCAAUAUUUUUUUCAUAGUAUCUUUUAUGCAAUUCUCCAUUAUUUUGAAUUCCUUUUUGGAUAAAAUUUCCUAUAUACACAAUUUAAUUGCACAUACUAGGAAUAUGCAACCAUAUGUGCGUGAUUAAAGGCCUUAUGAUAUGUUAUAUAUUAUUUUUAUUUUUAGAUUUUAAGAAAAUUAAAGUAUGUAUGAAUUUUAAACUUUAAAAAAAUA
rnacentral:lncRNA from 1 species